GAAAUUGAAUCAAAUCAACAGAGCAAGCUUAUGUUAGCCAACCCAGUUGAGAACUUAACUAUCAUUGUUGAUGCAGAUGAUGACUUACUUAAAGUUGGUACAGGCAUUUGCUCUUCAACACCUAAAAUUGUUGAACCCCAGCAACAUAAUUGUACCUCUGUAACAGAAGAUCAUCUGAUAAUCCCUAAAGAAGCUGACAAUGUUUGUGGGCAGCAUUAUCCUAUCACUGAGAAAAUCUACCGUUCACACAUGUGGCAAAGAGAGCAAUCAAAAGAAGAAUGGUGCAGGAUGCAUUGGACAGUAAUGCUUGAGUAUGGUACAUCAGGGGGCUGUCAGCUACAACCUUGAUGGAAUACCUCCAUCGAUCUAAGGGAUAUUAUAGCAGAAAUUGAUCUUCACCCGGGAAUACACGACCUACUGGCACAUUUGAUCACCAUCCAUUAUAGGAGAAUUCUCAACCAAAUCUGCUUAUUGUAGUUUCUUUGUCGGGGGCUCGGGGCUGUUGAUUUUGACCCAUGGAAAGAAAUCUAGAAGUUUUGGACUGCACCUCCAAUGCAAGUUUUUCAUUUGGUUAGCUGCUCUAAAUCAGUGUUGGACUGCAGUCAGGUUAGCUCACUGGGGAC
rnacentral:misc_RNA from 1 species